ANGUCGUAAUUGUAUUGACUUUUUAAUAAUAUUAAUAUUUAUUAAUAUUUGGAUAACUAAGGGAAAGUUUGGCUAAUACGUUUUAAAUAUAAUAAUAGAUUAUGCACAUAAUAAUAUUUAUUAAUGAUAAAUAUUAUGUAAAUAUUUAUACUUUUAAUUAAGUAUAUUAAUAGAGCAGACUUUAUAAUAUUUUAUUUAUUAUAAAGCAUGUCAAACAAGCAUCUAUAGCAUCAAGUCACAAUGUUGGCAUGUGUAUUAUUGAACCUUCAAAGCAUUUACGCAUUCGGAGGAGUAGUUUCUGAUCCCGUCGAAGGUGCCUGAGAGACGGCACUUAGUUCUAAGGAACGCAGCAGGCGCGUAAAUUGCCCAAUGACAAAACAUGUAAUAUUAAACUCAAUAUAUAUAAUAUUUUUAUUGAGGCAGUGACAAGCUGUAAAGAUUGAAUAUAUUAAUUAAGAUAACAUUUGGAAUUGUCGUUUUAUAAUAUUUUUAAUAUUAUAUUACUUGAUAAUAUACCAAUGUUAUAAAAUAUUCAAUUUGAAUGCGGUGAAUAUAAUAAUUUCAAGUAACAUGUAUAAAAUAUUAUAAUUUUAUUAGUUAUCUGAAUUUUCAAGUGGAGGGCAAGUCUGGUGCCAGCAGCCGCGGUAAUACCAGCUCCACUAGCUUAUACAAUCAUUGUUGCGGUUAAGAGGCUCGUAGUUGGAUUGAAUACAUUUUUACAAUACUGUGAACAAACCAGAGUGUAUAAAACAUGUAAUAUAUUAUAUAUUUAGCAAUGAAUGUUUUAUCAUGGAAUAUUGCUUUUUAAUAUAUUUAUCGAUGGAGAUAGUUGGAGUUAAGAGUACUGAUAGGCGAGCGGUGAAAUGCAUUGACCCUAUUAAGACUAACAAAAGCGAAAGCACUUAACUAGAUUAUUCUCUUUGUAUUAUUACAAUGAAGAGCGAAGGUUGGGGGAACAAAGAGGAUCAGAUACCCUCGUAGUCCUAUUUUUACAUCAAACUAUGGGAUUUCAAUCACAGACACUUUAUGAAAAGAAUGUUUAUUAUAAUAUAAUUGAGUACUUAAUUGUUUACUCUUAUAUUUAAUAUUAUUAUUUUUAUUAUUGAUUAUAUGUACUUUGAGCUCAUAUAAUUAUAUAGGUGAGAUGUAGCAUUAUAGGUUUCAUAAUAUAUAAGUAAUAUUAUAUUAUUAUGAUCCUUAUAUAUAAAAAUGNAAUGUGAUGCACGUUUUAGGUACGAGCUUACUAUAGAAAUAUUUAAAAUAAUACCCUCCUGGGGUAGUAUGCACGCAAGUGUGAAACUUGAAGGAAUUGACGGAAGGGCACCACAAGAACGCGUGGAGCAUGUGGCUUAAUUUGACUCAACCCGGGAAAUCUUACCAGGUCCAGACAUAUUGAGGAUUGACAGGCGAUAGUAUAUAAAAUAUAUUUUUAUAUGCAUAAAAAUGAUAGUCCUUUCAUGAUUAUAUGAUAGGUGGUGCAUGGCCGUUCUUAGUUCGUGGAGUGAUUUGUCUGCUUAAUUGCGUUUCAGUAAAUAAAAUAUAUAAUAUAUUAUAAUAUUUAGUUCUGCCUUUAUGGAUUUAAAGUGAACAUAUUAUAUAUAUUAUUAUAUAAUAAAUGAAUGC
rnacentral:rRNA from 1 species